rnacentral:rRNA from 1 species
GUGGGGAUGACGUCAAAUCAUCAUGCCCCUUAUGUCUAGGGCUACACACGUGCUACAAUGGUGAGAACAAAGAGACGCAAGACCGCGAGGUGGAGCAAAUCUCACAAAACUCAUCCCAGUUCGGAUUGCAGGCUGAAACUCGCCUGCAUGAAGCCGGAGUUGCUAGUAAUCGCGAAUCAGCAUGUCGCGGUGAAUACGUUCCCGGGCCUU